UUUUGAAUUACUAAUUUGAAUUAUUCCAACUAUCCAAGUCUCAUGAAAAUAAUCAAUUGAUAAAUUCCACUAACUGCCCAACUUUAAUUUUUGUAUUAAAAUGUUAUUAAUUUGUUUUGAAGACUAAGAUAAUUAAUCUAUGACUAUUUGUUUGAAAUGUAACUCAAGUAGACUUUACCUAAGCCCUAAUUAGCAUAACUUGAUUAUGGAACUAAUAAAUAAUUAAUAUAUGAUGAAGCUUAACUUAUCAGGGUUAAAAGAUUCUCUCAAAGUGUCCAGGAAUUUGUCUUUCAAGUUAGUUAUACAUUACAGAAUAAAUAACCUCUAAACUGAAAUAUAUCAAAUUUGGUUUUUAAGACAAAUCAAGAAAUGGGGAAAACAUGAGUGCUAUGAAUGAAAUAGUCAUUAAUUUAACCCUUCCAUGACUAGUUUAGAACAUACUUUAUCAUUUGUAUUCAGGUAUAUUUUUUCUAUAUCUUUAGCCAAUGAUUCUGCAUAUAGUAUGAUGUUUGUGUAAAUCAAAUGUCCAAAGGGUAUAAGCAUGUAGUACUUCUUUUGCUCAGCUAAAACUUGCAUAUUAAAAUGGUUAGAAACUCUCAUCACUUUGGCCCUGUGUGCAAUUCCCUGAGGGAAGGGUGAGCUCAUGUCAAGAGGUGGUAUAGCUACUUGUACAAAUUGGUAUGAGCUAAGGGUUAUUUCUGGGACAGUCAGUAAAAUAUACUGCACUUUAAUGUUUUUGUUAGAAUUUUGGAAAUAAAACAGAAUUGUCCUUGUCUUGUGGAGACUUGGAUUUAAAUUAUUCUUGACUUUACCCCUCACUCCAGCAGUCAGUUUAGGUAGGUAUUUAGAACAAUUGUGAAUCAAGUGUUGUUUUUAUUUGUUAACUUGUGUUUAUUAUUCCUUUGCUGUUUGUGUUCAAUAUAUCCUUUGUGUAACUUUCCUGGAGUCUGGAUUUUGCAGAUGUUUUUAAGCAUACCAACUGGAUAUCAGUAGACUUGACUACCACAAAAGUACCGAAAAGAUUAAGAACACACAACAGUGUGUCUUUGUUCUUCACCCAGCCUUUGGAGAUCUUCAAAAACAUUUUGCUAUUGAAAAUAAUAGAUAACCAUAGUUCAAAGAACCCACUUUAAAGAUUGCCAGGAUAAAGAAACAAGUUCCUUCUAUUAAAGGUAUGGUAUUCAUAGUAAACACUUAUGAAUUUGAAAUGUA